rnacentral:tRNA from 1 species
GGUUUGAAGCUCAGUGGUAGAGAGCUUGCCUACAAUGCAUGAGACCCUGGGUUUGACCCUCAGCACCA